CAGUCGCCGCGGGAAUACGUAGGUGGCAAGCGUUGUCCGGAAUUAUUGGGCGUAAAGGGCUCGCAGGCGGUUUCUUAAGUCUGAUGUGAAAGCCCCCGGCUCAACCGGGGAGGGUCAUCGGAAACUGGGAAACUUGAGUGCAGAAGAGGAGAGUGGAAUUCCGCGUGUAGCGGUGAAAUGCGUAGAGAUGUGGAGGAACACCAGUGGCGAAGGCGACUCUCUGGUCUGUAACUGACGCUGAGGAGCGAAAGCGUGGGGAGCGAACAGGAUUAGAUACCCCCGUAGUCCCUGUCUCUUAUAC
rnacentral:rRNA from 1 species